rnacentral:rRNA from 1 species
UACGUAGGUGACAAGCGUUGUCCGGAAUUAUUGGGCGUAAAGGGCGCGUAGGCGGCUUUGCAAGUGGAUGGUGAAAUCCCUCGGCUUAACCGAGGAACUGCCGUCCAAACUGCUUGGCUUGAGACCAGGAGAGGUGAGUGGAAUUCCCAGUGUAGCGGUGAAAUGCGUAGAUAUUGGGAGGAACACCAGUGGCGAAGGCGGCUCACUGGACUGGUACUGACGCUGAGGCGCGAAAGCGUGGGGAGCAAACGGG